rnacentral:tRNA from 1 species
GGGCCCAUGGCGCAGUUGGUUAGCGCGCAUCCUUGACAUGGAUGAGGCCAGAGGUUCGAGUCCUCUUGGGCCCACCA